rnacentral:lncRNA from 1 species
UUUAUCCACCUUUUCUACCCCUAAUAGCCUUAGUUGUUUUGCUUCUGCCUUACUGUGAUCAAUAUUUUAAGUUACAUUAAUUAAAAAAAAUUGAACCUUUUAACAUAAUGGGUACAUAAAUGCAUAUAAAUUAUACUUACAAAUAGUAUAUCCAUGCUUUUUUUUUUCAUUGCUUGCUUUUCCUGCCAUAAUGAUUUUUCUUUCGAUUUUUUCCUCUUACCAUCAACAGAUUCCAUGUGUUCUUGUAAAAUCUACAAGAAAGUAGUUAAUAAACAACAAUUACUGCCUCUCGUACACGUGUUGGUGCGACGGUGCCUAUCGCACCAAAACACACCUCACACGUGCAAUGGGCAUUAACCGAAAUGCAUUUUGCAUCAAACGAAUGCAUACGCCAAACUAUCACACAAAGCUACCACACUCGAAUGGCCAAGUCUAAUUUUUUUCAUCAUCGAAUUAUUAUAAAAAAAUUUGAAAACACGGCUACAGCAUUUUGUCAACAAAAAAAAAAUUAACCUAUUAUCUUAAAAGAUGACAAAUAGUUCUAUAGUUCUUUGUGGAAUUUUGUCAAAUAUUAUGUAAGCAUUAUAUUUCUACACUAUCAUUAACAAAUCGUUUUCCCCAAAUAUAACAAAUUACAAAUCUAAAUCACUUUAACAAAUACAAGGCAAAGUUUAAAGUUCAGUAACCUUGAUAAGAAGAGUGAAAGUCGGAGCCGGGAGCUAGAGUGAAAGUGAGAGCAAGUUCGGGCGUGAGUGUGAGUUGGAAGAAAAGCCAAGACCAACAGCAACAACAACGGCGAGAAUGGGAGCCUGACUAUGAGCAAGAGCGGGAUCGGGAGUGUGAGCCGAAGUGGGAGAGUGACCAAGAACAAGACCGUGACAGUGUGAGGAAUGACAAAGAUCUGCUCAAUGUUCGGGGGGAGAAAGGAGAAAGAGAAGGAGAAAGGGAGGGAGAAAGAGAGGAAGGGAGGGGAAAAU